UACGUAGGGUGCGAGCGUUGUCCGGAAUUAUUGGGCGUAAAGAGCGUGUAGGCGGCCAGGUAGGUCUGCUGUGAAAACUCGAGGCUCAACCUCGAGACGUCGGCGGAAACCAUCUGGCUAGAGUCCGGAAGAGGAGAGUGGAAUUCCUGGUGUAGCGGUGAAAUGCGCAGAUAUCAGGAAGAACACCCGUGGCGAAGGCGGCUCUCUGGGACGGUACUGACGCCGAGACGCGAAAGCGUGGGGAGCGAACAGG
rnacentral:rRNA from 1 species